rnacentral:rRNA from 1 species
CCUACGGGAGGCAGCAGUAAGGAAUAUUGGUCAAUGGGCGCAAGCCUGAACCAGCCAUGCCGCGUGCAGGAAGACGGCCCUAUGGGUUGUAAACUGCUUUUGAACAAGAGAAAACCUCGGUACGUGUACCGAGCUGAUAGUAUUGUUAGAAUAAGCAUCGGCUAACUUCGUGCCAGCAGCCGCGGUAAGACGAAGGAUGCAAGCGUUAUCCGGAUUCAUUGGGUUUAAAGGGUGCGUAGGCGGCCUGAUAAGUCAGUGGUGAAAUCUCUCAGCUUAACUGAGAAACUGCCAUUGAUACUGUCGGGCUUGAGUACAGAUGAUGUGGGCGGAAUAUGACAUGUAGUGGUGAAAUACUUAGAUAUGUCAUAGAACACCGAUUGCGAAGGCAGCUCACAAAACUGUAACUGACGCUGAGGCACGAAAGUGCGGGGAUCAAACAGGAUUAGAUACCCUGGUAGUCCGCACCGUAAACGAUGAUUACUCGUUGUUGGCAAUAUGACCGUCAGCGACCAAGCGAAAGCGAAUAAGUAAUUCCACCUGGGGAGUUACGCCGGCACGGUUGAACUUAAGAGAUUGACGNNGAGAGNGCGAGGACGACGACGAGGAGAG